AAUUGCUUCAACAAUCGGUCUUCUUGCCCAUGAAGUUACUGAGCAAAUUUGAGCAAUCAAUCAAGGACUCUUCAACCACAAGUCUUGUGCCCAUGCAGUUACUCAACAAAGUUGGGCAGAUCUUAGACUCCAAAUCUCAAGUCUAGUCUGUUCCUCGCAAAGUUUCCAAACAAGGAUCAACAGAAACAGAUUAUUCAAAAGCUUCACUCUAAG
rnacentral:misc_RNA from 1 species